AAAAUGCAGAGUAACGCUCCAGGGCUUGAGCUCAUUGUGAAGAAAAGUGGACUAGAAAGAAGGUGCCCCUUUGGGCAGCUCUGAAGCUGCUGACGUGCCAUUAUUACCUGUAUUGAAGAGAAAUAAACCCCAGGCAGUUUUUAUACUGUGAAACAAAACUUCCACAGCAUGAGACACUGCAAGACAAACUUUUUACUUAAGCUAAAGUGCUGGAAUGCCUGAUUUGAAGUGACUGGAAGCAGUAGAUGUUAAUGAAUUCUCAGUGCCUGUUGCAAAGCUCUUGCUCUGUACUUCAGAGUGUUUUCUUUGACCUUGUCCACAGAAACUAUUACCAGAAGAUGUAUUAAGCUUCACUAAAGACAAAAAGUAGAUUAUGGAGAGUAACCUUCUGUCACCUGCUUUGGUGAACAGACUCCUUCCUCCACUUGCCUGUGCACUGGCUCAACAAACAGUUUAACAAGGGCACUGCUUGUUUUUCACCAGAUCUUAUUUUCUAAUAGAAAACAGAAAUCCUUCCUCUACCCUUUUCCCUAUCCAGCAGUUCAUUAAUUCAUGAUAAUAUCUUAAGAAGAACAAUUUUUUGUCUCAAAAAGAAAAUCUCAUUAGCCUUGCCCUUUGUGCCCAGGGUGGACUUUCAGCUUAAAACAGGGGAAGGAGACAUCUGCUUUGAAUCAGGAGCUCAGAGCCUUUACCAAAGAAAUUCAAGGAUCCUUUCCUGCCAGUCUGGAUUGAAGCAACUGAAAAAACUAGCAUGGUCUAUAUAUGAGUCAUCCCCCUGAUCUCUUAAAAUAAGAAAACUGACAAAAAAACAUUCUUUAGUGAAAUAUGUUUUAGAGCUCUACAGAUAAACAAAAGUCCAAUUACUGUGUCACAGCAUACAAACAUCUUCAGUGGGAGUUCCAUGCCCACUAAGUAUCCCUACUUGCCAAAAUGCAGUAUUUUGAAGCAUUUCCAAAACUGUGAACAUGCACUAAUCUCCAAGUCAGGAAAGGAAGGGGUAGAAAAUUGUUUCCUACUUACUGUUCAUAGGUAGACACGGCUUUCAUGUACCUAUAGAAAUCUUUCUUUUUUGCAUUCCUUGCCAAAUCCAGUUCCAGAUGGGCUUUGUCCUUUUUGACCCCAUCCCUACAUAGGCCUAGCAGCAUCGCUGUACUUCUCCUAGGGUACCUGUCCCUGCUUUUACUGCCUGUGCAUUUUCUUCUUGCUCUCCACCUUGACCAGUUGGUCCUGGCUCAGCCAUGCUGAUCUCUUGCCUUUCUUUCCUAACUUCCUCCACCUGGGGAAGGAAAGCUAUUCUACAGCUCUGCAUAGUCACAACAGCCCAGGCCCAGCAGGAUGAGAGCCUGUGAUCAUGACACAGCUUGUAGCUGGAGGAAGAAGGCACCACUUGAUCAGGCAGACACAAGGCUACCUUUGUUACCUUAAUCUCUAACUCUCACUCGCAGGCUUCCAAUUUGAAUAUAAAGAAGCAAUAAAAGAAAAUAAAAGAAAAAUUAGAGUGAGCCUCAUAACACCCAUUCCAUUUUCAUCUAAUUUCAACUUAUUAUCUGGCUACUUCUUAUAAGCUUACCUGUCUCUUUAUUUUUUAAAUUAUUUAUUAAAUAAACAUCCUCCAAUUAGUUAUCACUGCAGAUAAUGGAAUUUGGAAGAUUUCAUUCUCUUUGUUAGUAUUCCACUUUUUCUUUUUUUCCUUUGGUUUUAUGUGGUUUUGUUCAGUUUUGUGUGGUUUUGUGCUGCUGGCAAUAUGAUAAAUUUCUCAAGUGCUGCUGGUGUUCUCUCCCAUUCUUUCUCACCCACUUUUCCCUUUUCCCUCAUGAACAAAGACAGCAUUACCUUUUCUGUAUGGGCAGGUCAUAUUUUCAUCACUCUAUUUUCCUUACUUCCUGCCUUUUUUAAUGACUAUGUGUCCAAAGCAGUGCACUUAAGCAGAAAAAGGACUCUUCAUAGGAAGUUAGCAGAACUGUUCAUGAACGAGAGGACGUGAAGGAAGAAAAUAAUUGCUAAGAUGAAGCAGCUCAGGGAAGAAGAGAGGAAGAGACUGAAGACAAGCCUCAUCUAACAUCAACCCUCAAGUCCUAUUUUAUGCCACAAUACAGCAAGCCAUCUUGUACAUGCCAGUGUCUGUGAGCAAGUAUGUAGAACAGAAUCAAAUAGAGUAUAAAAAAAAUUGUAAAAUUACAGAACUGGGACUUUUGGGAAAAGGAAUGUUAUCUCAGGGCUGCAAAAAGGUGGGGGAAAAAAAAAAAGUGGAAAAAGCAGAGCACUGAUGGAUAUGGUGGCAGAGUGGCACUCAAGCUGUGCUUCAGAGAGCAGUGAGGGCUGAUCAGUUCGAGACAUUGAGACACUGAGACUUUCUUUCUGGAUGCUAGUGUGUCAGAAAUUUUGCAGAAAAGCUAUUCCAAACAAGGCUACGUGGAAAAAGUAAACCUUCUACAAUGACAAGGUGUGGAAAAGAAAGCAUUUAAGCUUUCCAUCUCAGAAUGAAAUUGAGAGCAAUGGGAUAAAAUAUGCCAUAAACUGUCUACUGUUUCUGGCAGCAAAAGGGGGGAUGUUCAGUCACUGAAGACUUCAGCCCACUCUUAGGACAUGCAGGGUCAGCUAAGUUGUCUGGCUUCUCUUUAGAAGUAAGCAUUGCCUACAAAAAUAUUACUUUAAAGUUCUAAAGAUGGAGAAAACUCUAUGCCAGGAGAGUGAACAGAAUGAACUUGGGAAAGCUGGAAAUAUUUGAACAAACCACAUUUUUUAAGAAAAGCUCCUCACUGUACUAAACUUGCUUGGCAGUAGAUUUAGCUUCAGUGCCCCUUAAGAAUAUGAAUGACAAAUGA